rnacentral:rRNA from 1 species
AGAGUUUGAUCCUGGCUCAGAUUGAACGCUGGCGGCAGGCCUAACACAUGCAAGUCGAGCGGUAGAGAGGAGCUUGCUUCUCUUGAGAGCGGCGGACGGGUGAGUAAUGCCUAGGAAUCUGCCUAGUGGUGGGGGAUAACGUUCGGAAACGGACGCUAAUACCGCAUACGUCCUACGGGAGAAAGCGGGGGACCUUCGGGCCUCGCGCCAUUAGAUGAGCCUAGGUCGGAUUAGCUAGUUGGUGAGGUAACGGCUCACCAAGGCGACGAUCCGUAACUGGUCUGAGAGGAUGAUCAGUCACACUGGAACUGAGACACGGUCCAGACUCCUACGGGAGGCAGCAGUGGGGAAUAUUGGACAAUGGGCGAAAGCCUGAUC